AUCCAGCUGAAAAGUCCCAAAUAGGACGUAACAUGCGUACUAGAU
rnacentral:hammerhead_ribozyme from 1 species